UGCACGAACGACAGGAUCACCCGAUGAACAAAUGUUUAGCUCAUCCGGUGAUCCUGUCAUUCCUGCAGGCUCGUAAAUUAUGGUGCCUGCACGCGCUGUGUAAAUCCACCUUACGGUUAAGCAAUCUACAGGAUUAGUAAAUCUGCCCCGGGAAUGCUGUUGAUCCUUUCCAUAGACAUGUUAUGGAGCACAGGGACAGAUACUCAACCUCUGCUGUAUUAUAAUUCCUUCUGAUGUGGUCAUCAAUGAAGAGAAACUAGGGGUUCACAGCAGUGGGGCCCCCAGCGAUGAGAUAUUUAUCACCUUAUCUUGUGAAUAGGAAAUAAAUAUUAAUUGUGGGAAAAACCCUUUAUGGUAAUUGUAAUUUUUUAAAAUAUUAUGCCUAUGCCAGACUUUAGUAUCCAAAUGUAUGCCAAAUGAGUGUAUACUUCUUUAUACUUUUU